rnacentral:rRNA from 1 species
GACGAACGCUGGCGGCGUGCCUAAUACAUGCCAGUAGAACGCACAGUUUAUACCGUAGCUUGCUACACCAUAGACUGUGAGUUGCGAACGGGUGAGUAACGCGUAGGUAACCUGCCUGGUAGCGGGGGAUAACUAUUGGAAACGAUAGCUAAUACCGCAUAAUAUUGAUUAUUGCAUGAUAAUUGAUUGAAAGAUGCUAUUGCAUCACUACCAGAUGGACCUGCGUUGUAUUAGCUAGUAGGUGAGGUAACGGCUCACCUAGGCGACGAUACAUAGCCGACCUGAGAGGGUGAUCGGCCACACUGGGACUGAGACACGGCCCAGACUCCUACGGGAGGCAGCAGGAGGGAAUCUUCGGCAAUGGACGAAAGGCUGACCGAGCAACGCCGCGGGAGUGAAGAAGGGUUUCGGAUCGUAAAGCUCUGUUGUAAGAGAAGAACGGGUGUGAGAGUGGAAAGUUCACACUGUGACGGUAUCUUACCAGAAAGGGACGGCUAACUACGUG